rnacentral:misc_RNA from 1 species
GAUGAAGAACGCAGCGAAAUGCGAUAAGUAAUGUGAAUUGCAGAAUUCAGUGAAUCAUCGAAUCUUUGAACGCACAUUGCGCCCGCCAGUAUUCUGGCGGGCAUGCCUGUUCGAGCGUCAUUUCAACCAUCAAGCCCCCGGCUUGUGUUGGGGACCUGCGGCUGCCGCAGGCCCUGAAAGGCAGUGGCGGGCUCGCUGUCACACCGAGCGUAGUAGCAUACAUCUCGCUCUGGGCGUGCUGCGGGUUCCGGCCGUUAAACCACCUUCAUAACCCAAGGUUGACCUCGGAUCAGGUAGGAAGACCCGCUGAACUUAAGCAUAUCAAUAAGCGGAGGA